GAUCAAGCUACAAAGAGUCUAUGAUGGAUGGCUAGGCAGACUAAGGCGAUGAAGGACGCGAUAAGCGGCGAUACGCUCCGGGGAGUCGCAAAUAGACCGUGAUCCGGAGAUUUCCGAAUGGGAGAACCCAUCCAGGGUUGUACCUGGAUAUCUUGCACUGAAUACAUAGGUGCUUGACGCCACACGGGGCAAACUGAAACAUCUAAGUAGCCCCAGGAAAAGAAACCGUAAGGGAUUCCCCCAGUAGCGGCGAGCGAAAAGGGAACAGGCUAAACCCUGGUGCAUGCACCAGGGGGUUGCGGGACCUCAACGUAGGAUUGUCUGGUGAUAAAUGAAGUGGCUGGAAACCCACACCAUAGAAGGUGAUAGUCCUGUAAUUGACAUCAUCAGGCACCUUAGAGGCAUCCCAAGUACUGCCGAGCACGGGAAAUUCGGCAGGAAUCCGGCCCGACCAUGGGCUAAGCCUAAAUACUAGAGUCUGACCGAAAGCGGACUAGUACCGUGAGGGAAAACUGAAAAGAACCCCGGCGAGGGGAGUGAAAUAGAACCUGAAAUUAUAGACUUACAAGCGGUCGGAGGCCUAUGCAUACCUUCGGGUAUGAAUGGCUGACGGCGUACCUUUUGCAUAAUGGUCCGACUAGUUAUUGUGCGGUGCGAGCUUAACUCCGUCUCGGAGGUAGGCGUAGCGAAAGCGAGUCUGAAUAGGGCGUUUAGUACCGUAUAAUAGACCCGAAACCAGGUGAUCUAUCCAUGGCCAGGGCGAAGCUGUGUGAAAACACAGUGGAGGCCCGAACCCAUAUCUGUUGAAAAAGGUAGGGAUGAGCUGUGGAUCGGAGUGAAAGGCUAAUCAAACUUGGCAAUAUCUGGUUCUCCUCGAUAUAGUUCUAGGACUAGCCUCGGAUGAUCGGAUGCGCAGGGGUAGAGUUACUGAAUAGGCUAGGGGCCUCACCGGGCUGCCAAACCUAACCAAACUCCGAAUACUGCGUAUCUUAUUCCGGGAGUCAGUCCCUGAGGGCUAAACUUCAGGGUCGUGAGGGCAUCAGCCCAGACCAACAGCUAAGGUCCCUAAUAUCGUCUAAGUGGUAAAGGAAGUGAGAUCACGUAAACAGCCAGGAUGUUGGCCCAGAGGCAGCCAUCAUUUAAAGAGUGCGUAACAGCUCACUGGUCGAGUGAUCUUGCGCCGAAAAUAAUCGGGGCUCAAGGCGAUAACCGAAGCUUUGGAUUGUAUCCGUCUUCGGACGGGUGCAGUGGUAGAGGAGCGUACUGUCUCACUGUGAAGGCGUACCGUAAGGAGCGCUGGAGAGGACAGUAGUGACAAUGUCGGAAUGAGUAACGAAUACUAUGGCGAGAAACCAUAGCGCCGAAAAUCUAAGGUUUCCUGGGGAAGGUUAAUCCACCCAGGGUUAGUCGAUCCUAAGUCGAGGCCGAAAGGCGUAGGCGAUGGACAUCCGGUUAAUAUUCCGGAACCGGCUAUGGGCGUUACCAGUUUAAGAUGACGUAGAAGGCUAGGUGCGCGGAGUGUUGGACGUCUCCGUUCAAAGCUGUGGCACUCGUGGAGACACGGGUGUGAGAGCUUACGGGGAGCCUGCGGUACGCCAAAGGCGAAGGCACUCAUGCCAUACUACCGAGAAAAACUCUUAAACGAGCUCCAUAGCUGAUCGUACCGUAACCCGACACAGGUAGAUAACCAGAACAUGGUAAGGCGCUCGAGAUAACUCUCCUUAAGGAACUAGGCACAAAUGGCCCCGUAACUUCGGGAUAUGGGGUGUCCGAGGGAUGAAGCCGCACAGGCGGAGUCCUGAGGAUCACAGUAAAGAGGCCCGGGCGACUGUUUAGUAAAAACACAUCACUCUGCUAAGUCGAAAGACAAUGUAUAGGGUGUGACACCUGCCCAGUGCUGGAAGGUUAAGGGGAGGGGUUAGCCGUAAGGCAAAGCUCCGAACUGAAGCCCCAGUAAACGGCGGCCGUAACUAUAACGGUCCUAAGGUAGCGAAAUUCCUUGUGGGGUAAGUUCCCACGCGCACGAAUGGUGUAACGACUUGGGCGCUGUCUCAAGGAGGGACUCGGUGAAAUUGUAGUAGCGGUGAAGAUGCCGCUUACCCGCACCUAGACGAAAAGACCCCAGAACCUUUACUGCAGGUUGGUAUUGAAUUUUGGUCCUUUAUGUGUAGGAUAGGUGGGAGGCUGUGACGGCACGGCGCUAGCCGUGCAAGAGCCAACGGUGAAAUACCACCCUUAAAGUAUUAGAAUUCUAAUCAUGUCCCUUAUAUCAGGGCAUGUAACAGUGCCAGUCGGGCAGUUUGACUGGGGCGGUUCCCUUCUAAAAUGUAACGAAGGGGUCCAAAGGUCUCCUCAAGCCGGUCGGCAAUCGGCUUUAGAGUGCAAUCGCAUAAGGAGGCUUAACUGCGAGACGGACACGUCGAGCAGAUACGAAAGUAGGGGAUAGUGAUCCGGUGGUUGAUUAUGGGAUUGCCAUCGCUCAACGAACAAUAGGUACUCUGGGGAUAACAGGCUGAUCGCGCUCGAGAGUUCAUAUCGACAGCGCGGAUUGGCACCUCGAUGUCGGCUCAUCCUAUCCUGGGGCUGGACAAGGUCCCAAGGGUCCGGCUGUUCGCCGGUUAAAAGGGUACGUGAGCUGGGUUUAGAACGUCGUGAGACAGUUCGGUCUCUAUCUGGUGUGGGCGCACGAUAUCUGAAGAGGAGCUCUUCUUAGUACGAGAGGACCGGAAGAGACGAACCUCUGGUGUACCGGUUGUCCUGCCAAGGGCAAAGGCCGGGUAGUCACGUUCGGAAGGGAUAAGCGCUGAAUGCAUAUAAGUGCGAAGCCCCCCUCAAGAUAAGAUAUCGAUCUCCCGCAAGGGAGGAAAGGCACCUCGAAGAGUAACGAGGUUGAUAGGCUGCAGGUGUAAGCCCUGUAAGGGGUUUAGCUAAGCAGUACUAAUCUGCCGAAUGCUUGAUCUU
rnacentral:rRNA from 1 species